rnacentral:lncRNA from 1 species
AUUAUAAUUCUUAACUUUGAAGUUAUACAUUUUUUUAAACAAGAUUCCUUUAAGUUUAUUUGUAUCUUCAAAUAAAUUAAGCUUUGGGGUUUAGAAUCAUACAAGAGCAAAGUUUAAAUCUUGCAUUCCUAAAUACCAAGGCUCAUUAUAGCAUGAGGUAAUCACUCCUCAAUUAAUUCCAUUCAAGUAAUUUUCAAAAUAUGAUUCAUUGUACACAAAAGUCUCACUAUUUUACCAAAUAAUAAAGAGAUAGAAAAAAAACAAUGGAAUUAAAAGUAAAAGAGAGAGAGAGAGAGAGAGAGAGAGAGAGGAUAACUGAUACUUUUCUUAUCAAAAACUCGUUUCUACAGGCCAAGAUUGAGUAUGAGAUGAAAAUUUUGCCACCCAACGACAGCGACCUGGCAGGAAAACGCGGGUGGGGAUGUACCGACAUAAAACCCAGCCCGUCCCAGUCGGCGUGCCCCGCACGAGCCUGUGGCCAGCUUCGCCGAGGGGGCGCCGUUUAAUCGAGGACGAGGCAAGUGCACGAGAUCAUUCAUUCAUGCGCUCUCGGACAAUGUGACGACGACGACGACGAAGAAGAAGCUGGCAAUGACGUGCAAUCCCAACUCGCCGUAGCAGGCAGGAAACACUCAUCGCUACUGCCACUUCCAGACUUUAAGAACGUCGCAUGAAGAGGAGCGUCGAGUACUGCUUGUCCAUGGUGAUUGUCUCACAAUUGAUUGCUCGGUGCCAGGCGGUGUCGCGCCUCAGGGCCUGAUCGACCGUUGCUGUUGUUGUUGAAGUUGGAGCAGGCGAUGUGACGAACACAGCGAUUGCUGCUUGAAGUCAAAAGUGAGUUCCGAGGAGGCUAGUAACGCGACCGUCCCGUCUAGAGAAGGUGUAGAGCGGCUGGUAUCAGUUUUUCGGAAGGGAUGAGGCGCGUCGCGGCCUUGACGUAUUGUGAGACUCGAUCGGUAGUAGUAUUGGGGUUGCUGAUUCUGAGCUUGAGUGCCGUGGUAGUGGUGGUGGUGGAUUCGGCGCGACUAGUGGAGGCCGCCUCAGAACAGCCCAGGAAGUUGACGACGCCUGAGUCUGUGCAGGUCUUUGUCGAGCCAGAACUGUUACCGCAGCGCGUGAAACCUUUUUCUACUGGUCGCUUCGGAGAUGGGGAUGGGGACGAUGCGAUGUGGGAUAUGGAGGCGAAGCCGCCACCUUCGCAUAGACUGCGGGAUCGUACCCUGUGGGGAUAUUCCAAACGUGUCGUUCCGACAGGACCCAAUCCGCUUCACAAUUAGGCUUAGUAGCUUGGUUCGGCAUCCAGGAGGAGGAGGUUUAGCGAACGGACACUAGAGGUUGCUUUUCAGGGUUAUUCUGUGACGUGUUCAGCUUGUGCUGCGACCGCCUUCUUCCUCUUCAAUUAGAAACCGUAUUUCUCUGCUUCAUCAACAGGAACAGAUAUCUGCCCCGGCGCCGCCGAUCUCAAACUUGCCCUCCCUUGUUUCCAUUGCGUCGGUGACUUCGACUCUGCGCAAACUUUCAUGCAAAUUAUUGUUAGUCUUAGUACUACUACCAUUAUAAUUACUCUCAUUAUUCUGGCCGCAUGAUUGAAAUACUCUAUGAGAUGGCUUUUGGGAAAGGCUAUUCUCACCGCAAGGUUACUCAGUCGGCUUGAUUGCAGUUCCAACCGGAGUUUUCGCUGAGCAAUCCAAAGUAUUUGAUUUAGGAGACACGUUCACCGACUGACGGGGUUCUGAGCUGUAGAAUAGUGAACCCAGAGACUAAGUCCCUUCGAUUAUACGAGUGUUCAAACCUGCAGAACCUUGUGAGGUACUGAAGCUAUAGAGUACACUUCUCCAUCAAAGACAUACCAUCAAAAUAGCGGUUUAGAAGAUUUAUGUUUUAUGCGCAACCAUGAUUGAAUCAUUCAAGCUAUGCCAGCCUGUAGGACGCGAUCGAGCACCAUCAACAAAGGACUUGCUCGACGAUUCAACGCUGGAUGGUUGCGGGUAUUCAAUAACAGGGGCAUAGUUGUUUAAAUAUUAUAUACUGAGUGCAGCUUUCCAGGCUCGAAAGGGGUUGGGGAACGCCACAUUGAAAGUUGGAUCACAGUCGGGAUAUCUUAGGAGGGGGAGCGAAUCAUUGCGAUUCAUAGCUGCCAUUAAAAUUUAUUGCUUUCAGUAGGACAUUUAUCAUCGUGAGUUCGUGUGUAAAGAAUUGCAAAUAAUUGGGAGGAUGUGAAUGCCACGGCUGUACUCAUUUCUUUCCUUUCACCUUAUAUCUUAGAGGUCACUACUUGUGACUGAUCUUUUGAGCUGCCGGAUUUUGUCCUAAAUGGCGACUGCGUUCUCAUGUCCAUCACUGGUGCUGCGCGAAAAAAAUAGCACCAUAGCUAUCACAUCGGCGUCUCUUGCAAACAACAGUGUCCAGUAUAUUGCAUGACAUCAGUGCUGAAACUGUUAUUUCCAAUCUUAAUAGCGCAGAGAUGUUUUCAUUAUGAGAGGCUGUGUUUUAGUAGUUUCAGAGGUUUCCUCUGGCGGCUUGUCUCUACCCUUGCAAUGCAAUGAGAUAUAUUUAAUGCCAGGAAAGUCGAAACUGAAAUGCAGAUCAAUUAUGCAUUAAGUCCUGAUUUAAGAGUUGGGGUAAUUGGAACAUAACCUGCAGUUAUCUGCCGUGAUCGCCAAAAGCUGAUGCACAGCAACAAUCCAAUGUCCUUCACUUUCUAGAAGAUGUAGCUCCAGAAUCUAGCUUCCAAUUGCUACUAUCUCCUAGAGGAGUGCGUUGAUAGGUUCCCUUCUCUUGGACCAUUCCUCGAGAGAGCUUUAUAUUACCAUUGAUAUCAUAAUCUUAACACAACAAUCAUUCGGAUAUGCAGACGGGCUGAAUGCGAAACGUAGGUUAGAGGAUUUAGUGAGCAACGGGUUUAUUAUUUUAUUUUAUUUUUUGCAUAUCAAUGAAAUCCGUGGGACCUGGAGUAAACCACCAGCUGACGACAGGUUGCAAAACAAAGCAUUUGACAGGGGUGCAGAGUUUUUAGACCUCCAAGACGGGGAGGGAUCUCCAGUAAUGAACUAUCAGUCCCAAAACUUGCGGCGCCCAUGAAUGCACUUCCAUUGACGCGUUUCGGUCCCUUCUUCGAUCCCUACAUUCAAUCUGUACCAUCUGCUCAAUCAAUUUUUACGAGCCGGUCGGGGCCUGUGGCUGUCCAAAAAAAUCUAAACUCGUACAGCGAGACUGUCCUCACCUCCGGACACGGCAAGAGACAAGUGCCUCUUCGUUUGUCACGAAGUUUUUUCCACGCUAUACUACAGUAACAGUAGAAGGUUGUCAGCCCAGGUCUCCAGAGCAACCUUUUCCUCCUGAAGAAAUUCAAUAUCAAAGGCGGGGUUCGUAGCAGACUUUGACCUAGAAUGUACUGCUUUGAUGGACAUGAUCGGAGCUAGGGGGUGCCGUGUCCGGCAAAAUUCGGCCCCCGCCAAUGGUCUAAAAUUUUCACUCCCAUUUGAGAAAUCUCCUACUGGUCCAAAAUUAGACAAGUCCUCAUGCAUCCGAAACAAUCUUAAUUAUAAAGACGACGACGACGAGGCUGUACACAAGGACAGCCAUGGGUGGGGACCGUAAGCUGUAUUUGGCUCACUCCUAGUGCUGUGUACUACACAAAACGGGUGCAGCCAAGACGAUGAACUUCGUUCUAGAAGAAGCUCUUUGUUGACCUGCAUCCGAUCACCAACAACCUAUCCAUCUGCACAGAGCCAGCCUGCUGGCCUCCAGCAAAGAUUCUCUCCAAGUCCGCCAAUAAAACGCCCCCCACCUUCUCUGGUCUUGCAACAUGAAUGCUACCCACGUUAACGUCCAACUUAUCGAACGAUCUGGCAAGCAAUACCAUCAAAACCUGAAGGUAAAAAACCCAGACUAGUCUUCGGCAAAGUCAAGUAUACUAUCACCAAUAGUCUACAUUGUGGGUAGGUGGGUGGGUGGCGACAUUGUGGCAAAAAAUUCCUCAUUUCAUCAUGUAUUAGUGUAUGACGUCGGAGAAGAAGAGGCGCUGUAUCCAGGACCUCAAAGUCCAUGACAUGAGGCUCUCUAAUCCGCGACACCCAUGGCUCCGACCAGCAACGCGGGAUGCAUUUAACGCAAUGCUUGAGCAUCACGCGGCGAGGCACGCGACAUGCAGGGCCCGGAUCCCUGGCACCUGGCCCUUAUUCGCAAUCUCCUUUGGAUGCUGCGCUGGGAAAGUAGCCCACUGUAAAAGCCGACGACGACGACAACGACAAAAUGGGUCAAGUGGUGUCAGUCUCUGCCACAAUCUACACAGGAAUUUCGACCUCGCCAGGGCGCUUCCGCAACACGUCGAAAGAUGUAAUCCGCAAUCACCCUUCAGCAACAACCGGAUCAAAGGUGGAGGCUUUGGUUGCAUGAGGAUGGUGAUCAUCAAUCAUCAAACAUUCAAAAAAACAAAAAAACAAAAAAACAAAAAAAAAACCCACUUUCCAUGCUUGUUAAAGAAUUGGUAGAGUGUCUUGCAAGUUGCAAGUUGGUGUGGAGUUGUCAAAUAUGGAGUUGUAUCUUUUUUGAAACUAUUGUGAAAGGGGUUUUUUAUAUUCUGGAAAGAAGUUGCAAGGUUAUGGUAUUUUUUAUUCUUUUGUUGGCUGAUAUUAAGAUGUAGUAUUUAGUUGGUAUGUUUUGUGUUAAGAAAAAUCAGGGCAAAGGCUUUAAGAUGACAAGAUUAGAAUAUACUAUUUUUCUUUCAUGGCAUGAAUAUUGUUGUGUCCUAAAAUUUGCAGUAGAUCUACCUCAAGUGAGUUUUAGAGAAAUUUAGAGAAAUUUUGUCAAAAACUCAUAGUUUUUUUGAGUAAUAUAAAACAUAUAAACGAUAUAUAUUACAAUUUUUAGAAUUUAUAAAUAAAGACACACGUUGAGGCUUAUAAUAAAAUAAUAUUUUGAUUCAUCUUAUGGUCUCUUACGACCGUGUAUUAACUCUAAAAGCCAUAGCUUCUAAAAGAAUUUUCCUCUUUAUAAGCAAUUGACCUUUGUAAGGCUUUUGUACUAUGGCUUUUCAAAAUGGAUUUUUGGAUAUAUUGACCCUUUUAUUUAUUAGUGGAUUUUUUUAUUAUUGUGUAAUAAAGACUAUGCUUCUAUAAAGAUUAAGAUUAGUUAUAAUUUAUUUAUUUAUUUAUUUCUCUUGUUUCUUUCAACUUGGUCAAAUAGAACGUAGUAUAUUCUGUUAUAUUAGAUCUUUUGUGUUUUUUUCUAUAAAAUAUCUAUUUAAUUAAUAUACUUAAAGUAAGACAGCAUUAAUGUUAUCAAUCAUUGACUUGUUUUCAUAAGAAAUAAGAAUAUUUUAAUUAAAAUCUUUCUUCUUCUUUUUUCAAUCAUUGUUGUAAAACCAAUAAAAGAAAUUUAUUUUGUCUGCAUACAAUUAUUUUUUCAGUAUAUAUAUUUAUAUAUAUAAAGAUGAAUAUUCUUUGUAAUUUCUACUUUACAGAUAGAAGAUUCAAUUAUUUUAGUAACAAUUUUUUAAAAUAAAUUAGAAAUUGACUAUUUCCUUAUUUAAAAAAGUAAUGUUACUGAGUAAUAAAUUAUCAUAAAAUUUAUCUUACAAGAACUAGCCAAUCCUAUACACUCAACUAAUAUUCAAUGUAAUAAAAUUAUUGCAACCAAUUUGAAGUAAAAUCUAAUUAAAAAUAAUUGAAGAAAAAAAUUCCUAAUUGCUAGUCCAAUAAAGUAACAAGUUAUUUUUAUUUUAUCUUAAAUUAAAUUAAUUUUUUAUUUAUUUUAAAAACUAAUCUAUUUUUUGUUUUAAACCAAUCUCAGUGAUCUAUAAAAGAGAGUUUAUAUGAAUACAAUCUACACAUAUUUAUGUAUACUGAAGAUAACUAUUAAAUUUAUAUAUUUUUAAAUCACUAACUUAAUCUACUUUCAAGUUGAUGUAGAAAUAUUAUACAUUAUUUGAUUCAUAAUUUCGAACCAAUCUAUAGUAGAGAAGUCAUUUUUAUCUAACUAUAUUUUUAUGAGUUAGAAUCCUAUGCCAAAAUGACUUAGUCAAGGUCUCAUUAUACCUUUUCUGUAUUUUGUUAUACAAUAGAUUUUUUUGCUAUGAAAAAAUAAAAAAAAAUCUAUAUUUCUUAAAGCUAACCAAGUAUUCUAAUAUUGGAAAUAUUUUUAAUUAUCCAAAAAAAAAAAAUGCAAUCAUUCUUAUCUUUAACUUCUACAAUUAUUUAUAUAAAUUAGAUAAGAAACAAUUUGUUUACUUCUAAGUCUUGACUAUCUUGUCUUUUCAAAAGCUUCAAAGAUGUAAUAUAAUCUCUACUGUAAUUCUUCAGUAAAAAUUUAAAUUUUUAAUAAAAUAUAAUUGACUCUAUCAUUCAUUUACCUUUUGAAACUUAUAAAUAAUAUACUAUUAUCAAAAAAAUAAUUUAAUUUUUAUUAUUUAAUUUGACUGUAUCUAUAAAAAUAUUUUUACAAGUGGAUUGUUUUUAUUGGUAUUUAACAUGUAAAUAUGUUUUGAAGCUAUAACUUAAGAAGAUGAUAUUUAUUUUAUUAUAAAAUUAAAAUUAUGUAAAUAUUAGAUUGUGUAUCUAUUUUAUUGUUUUAACUAAGUUAAGUCAAUCACAUUGAUUAGGAUUGAAUUUGUCUUUUGUAUCUAAAAAAAAUCAAAUUCUCUUUCUUAUUUAUAUUUUGGUUUAUGUUUAAUUUCCUUCAAAAAUAUUAUCACAUGAAUAAUUGAAUACUUGUCUAAUUUCUUUUUAAAAUAAUUCAUCUUAUAGUAUUUUUUAAAGCUUCACCAAUUGAACUACUAACGAAAUCUAACAAACAAAAAACUUUAAAAGUAAUAAUGAUAUAGAUACUCGAAAGUCUUAAAAAUAUGACAGUUUAUUAAGAUUUCUUAGUUAUAAUUAUCAAAUUCUUAUUUUAAUAUUUAAUCAAAUUAUUAUUUUAGUUGUAAUUUAAUCAAAUUAUUAUUUUGUUAUAUGUAAAAUUGUUUUUUUAAUAAUUUUAUAAAAAUAAAAAAAUGAAUUUUUAAUUUUUAAUUUUAAGUAAAGUUAAGUCGAUUUUGUUUGGAAAAUUAUAUCUCUCUAAUUACUAACUAAACAUAAUAUUUUUUUUAUCAUACAUGUCUUAAAGCAAUACAAGAAUAAUUCUGAGAAAAAUUAAAUAUUUUGGUAUCUUCUUGCUUAAUAGGUAUAUGUUGUAUUUUAUAAGAUUAAUAGUAGCAUGGCCUCACAAUCUAUUCAGAAAAUUAAAGCAUGCUUGUUGUGAACUUGUAUGCUUUAAGUAUAUAAACAUAGUUUAUCUGCCAAGUGCAAUACAUAUUGAAUUCAUUGUCAUAGAUAUAAAUAAAUAAAAUACAUAAAAACAAAUUUUAUUAUAUAUUUAAAUAAUAAUAAUAAUAAUCAAAUAUAUUAUACAAAGAAACAAAAGAUUUUGAAAUAAUAUAGAAAUAAAAUAGAUAUAUUUUUAACUAUAUAUAUAUAUAUAUAUAUAUAUAUAUAUAUUCUAAUAAUUAUAAAAGACAUGCAAAUACUUUUUAAGAACCAUAAGACUUAGACAAGAAGUGUUUUAAAUUCUUUCUAGACAUAGAUUGCCUUAAUAAACAUGCGGAUUUACAAAAAUAUAUAUAUAUAUAUAUAUAUAUAUAUAAAUUCAUAUAAUUUUAUAAUAAUUCUAUUGAUACAUACAAUUUAAAUUUUAUUUAUAAAGUUUUACACUGUUCUACAAAAAGAUGUUACUUAUUUGAUUUAUAUCUACUAACUUCUAAUUAUUUCUAUUUAUUUUAAUAAUAUUAAUUACAAAGUUACUAUUGAGUUGGAUUUAAUUAGAAAAAAUUAUAAUAAACUAUAGUAUAUCAAAUUUAUCUUUUGUAAAUUAUUCUGGAGAUAUUGAUAAAUACAAAAUAAAAUAUAUAAUUAAUUUAAUAAUGAUGAUAAUAAUAAUAAUAAUAAUAAUAUAUUUAUUUACCAAGCUAAGUUUUAUAUUUAUUAAGACCUAAUUUGGUAAUAUACUAAAAAUUAGAUUAUAAUUUUAAAUGGAUUCAACACUAAAUAGUUGAAUUUUAUAAUGCAAGAUAUACUAGUAUCCAAAACAUUUUAUGUGUUACACAUGUACAUUGUAAUUUGUGUCAGCAACUCAAGUUCUUAGAUUCAUUAUCUUCAAAAAAACAGUGUAUUCGUUAAUUUUGAUAUAAUCAUAAAUAAUUUUAAAAAAAAAUUCACGUAUUUUUAGUUCAAUACUGGAUAUUAUUACAGAAAUACUAAUUAUUUUAAUUAGUUUUCAGUUAUAAAUUUUUAAUUUUUAAUAUGUAUAUUGUGAAAAAUAAAGUUUAUAAUUUUAUCCUUAUUAAAUUAAUUAAUUUAGCCAAUUUUUAAAUUAAUAUGACCAACAGCUCAUAGCAUCUAAUAUAUAUAUAUAUAUAUAUAUAUAUAUAUAUGUAUAUCAAUUUUGUGUAUUCUAAAAGAUAAGAAUAAAAUAUUGUAAUAAUUUCAAUUAAAAAACCUACUUUCUAGGGAGAAAUUUGAAUUACAUAAAUAAUUUUCAGAUAUAUGCAAAAAAAAUUGAAAAAAAUAUAAAAAAUAAAUUAAAAUCAUAAGACUCAAAUAUAAUUUUUAUUUUUUUCAAAAAUAUACAAUUAAUAUAUAUAUAUAUAUAUAUAUAUAUAUAUAUAUGUAUUCAAGUAUGUAAUUGGUAUUUUUUAUAUAGAGAGAUUAGUUAAUGAUAUCAUUCUAUCUUCAAUUACAAUAUAGUUUCUUUUCUAAAGUUUUUUUAAAUAUUACAAAUAGAUACAUAUAUAUUUUUUAAAUAUUAGAUUUUAAUAGUGUACAAGAUUUUCUUUUACAUAGAAAUAAUAAUUUUUUAUAAGAGUAUAGCAUAAGAUACUUAAAAUAAUAAAAUCUAAUACACAUUAUAUAUAUUAUAAGUAGUUUUAAUAUUUUAUUAUAUAAAGUAAAUAAAUUGAAGUUGAUUUUCUUGUACAUGAUUUUCUCUAGAAACUUAUUUGAUAGUAUAUACCUUAAUAUAUUCAUGAAAUGAAAUAUUUUAAUUUUUAACAAAUUUACAUAAAACUAGUUUCAAGGGUUUAAAUUUAUUUUCAUUUUAAAUUUAAAAUAUAAUAAAUGAUUUGAAUUAUAUGUGUUCACUUAUAGAUAUUGAUUGUUUUUAAAGUCUUUCAUGCAUAUGUAUGUUAAGAAGUUAUUUGAAUCGUGUUAAAAUUAUUUUGAGUUUUUUAAUAUUUUAAAUUAUAUAAAAUUUUAAUAAUUUUCAAAGAUUUAACUUUUUUAAAUCAUUAAAAUUAAAAAGAAAAUAUUGCAUGCUAUUGUUGAAUUAAAAGUAAACUUUAAAUUAUUUUAAAACAUCUUAUCAAUUAUUGGUCCUAAGUUUGAUUUCAUAACUUUAAAUUACAUUUGAGUAAAAUAAUCAAAGAAAAGACUAUCUUUAUAACUAUUAAAUUCUUUCUAUUUAUCUAAAGUGAUAAAUUAUAGAAUGGUAUUUUUAUUGUAUUGAAAAGAAUCAAUAAUCUCAGUUUGAAUUCUAUCUUUGUUACAAUAUUAUUAGUGAUAGAAAUAGUUUAAAUAUUAUAAAACAUUUAUCAAAACAAGAUCAUGAUUCUAAAAUAUUUGUGGUUAUUACAUUCAUUAGGAUUCAUACUUAAUUUUGAAAAAUUGUUGAAAACAUAACAAAUGCUUGUAUUAAUAAUAUGUAUAAUAAGAUUAUUAAAAAGAGAAGUUGGUUUCUAAAUAAACCUUAAAGAAUAUUACAACUAGUGGAAAAUGUAUAUAUAUAUAUAUAUAUAUAUAUAUAUAUGAAAUUAAUGAUUGUAUUUUCUAAUGAAGAUUAGAUAUCUUUAAAAAUACAACUAAUAUUCACCUAAAUAUUAUUUUUGAUAUAUAGUUAAAUACACAUAAAAUAAAUGAAUAAAAACAUAACAAAUUUUUAGAUCAAUAUAAGAAAAUAUUAGAGAUAGAAACCAUUUUUUAAUUUUUAGUUUUAUUAUUUUUAAUAUAUAUAUAUAUAUAUAUAUAUUAUUUUUAAUAGAUAUAUAUAUAUAUAUAUAUAUAUUUAAAUAUUCCUUUUAAGUUUCCUAAAUUCAACUCUUGUGAAAAAUCUCUUAUAAACACUACAAAAACAUUAGAAUUAUGGAGUCAUUACUUUGAAUUGCAAUAUUUUUAAAUUUUAAAUUGAACUAAAUUUAACUUCAUAAUUAUUCAAAUUUUGUCAAACCUCUAAAACAAAAAAUAAUAAUAUAAAAAUUGUAGAAAUAAAUCAUAUUCACAUGCGUCAUAGUAAAGACCAUUCAAGAACCUUACUUGAUUGAUUUGAAUACAAUUACACUGAAAUGUUUGUUACAAUAAAUAUACCAUCUUAGUCUUUGUCUUAACAAUUAAACUCUGUUGAUAUUAUUGAUUAUACAAGACAUACUCUCCAAAAUACGACGCCAAAAAGUCUAAACUAAUCGGAGGUGUGUAUGAAAAACCUGUAAUGAGAGCUUCAACUGGCACCUCAAUACAUGCAACCCAUGCGCUGCAAAUUGUAAGAAUGUUCAAACAAAUAGACAACCUUCAGUUUAUCAUAAGUUUCCAUUCGAGGUUUUGAACAAUUGGAUUGCAAAUUCUCCGGACUUCAUUGCACUGCCGUCAUGAGUAAAUCCGUAGCUCCAAAGUCUGCUCCAUCUUUCCACAUUGUUCAGACUGAAUGAUUUCAUGUAAAAAGUUCUCUAUCUUCCCUUCUCUUCGUCUUGCAACUUAAACAGAGUUGCAAUUUUAGAUUCGAAGCAAAGUGUUGAAAUUUACAAAUCAACUGACCCCUUCAAUACCAAACCAGUGUAACAUGAUACUUUGAACACCCACUUUGAAAUGCCACUCUCGAAUAGAACUACCACAAAAAUACCGUUCUACAAACUACUCACAUCAGUUUUCUUUACCUGUAAGGUCGGAUGAAAUGAGCAAGACAAAACGAACUUAGCUUCUUCCAGUUUGUCACGGUCACUCUGAGCUUUGCAAAAACAGUGUCUUUUGUUUUUUGGUAUGCGCUAAAUAAUGGUCGUUUAAGAAGAAAGCUCGUUGUAUUCCCCCUGCAUCGAGUAACAUCACGAGGAGCAUCAGAAUAUAUCAAUAUGAUCACUUUCUCGAACAUAGACUUGGUGAAUUAUGUUGGUCGUGACCCGCUUCAAGCUCCGACAACAAAUAGAUUUCAUCUGCAACUCGCGUGCAUGACGUUGAUUAUUGCUGCAUAACGCCUCCUUUUCACUAAGUAAUAUUAAUUGAUUACUGAGAAUGUCUUGAGCCCAUCAGACGGCACUGUAAUCACUUCAUGACUUCGUGAUCUUCAUCAUGGUACAUAAUAAGAAAUCCAAGGAGAAGAGACUAGGGCUUUGUGGGAAGAUGCAACACAAUUUUAGAAUGCCGAUGUACUGCAACACUGGAAGAAGUGAAUUUAGUCUCUCGUAUUCUGUGGUUUAUAGGUCAGUCUUAGCAGCAACGGGCAUCGAAACAGGAGCAUCAUAAGCUCAUUGCUUCUCUGCCACCGACUGUGUCAUUUGGAUGCCUCACAUGAGCAUUAAUUUAGAUAAUCAGGAAGACGUCUUGAAAUGCUUGUCGAUGAUCAUAUUCACACUAGCUAUGAUUCUACAGAAGUGGCAAUCUCCAAAGCAAGUCCACAUGGUUGUUACUGAGAGAUAGAAUGCUUUCCAAAACCGCAACGGUGAAUGACCCGUAUAUUCAGAACCUACGUUUCCAUUCACAUUCUGAUGCUCUGAUUGGAACUUUGCCAAGGUGACGAUCAAUUUCUUGAGUGGUGUUCUUUUUGUUUCUUAUUACCCGGUCCUUGCAGCAGGAAUUGCUAUAUGGUGUGGCGUCAGUUUCCUGCUCAUCCCCAGCAACCACCCGAUAUCCUCAAACACACUCAAUCAGCCGUCAUUUGUACAGUGGGUGCUCCGAAAUUUUCAAUCUACGCUAACUCAGAUAAAUAAAUAAAAAAAACUAACCGCUGAGAUGCAAAAGACGAAUACCCUCCGAUGGACACCAAAUUAAGGAGCUCGUACUUGUCAAAAACCUUUGGAACAGAAUUCCCAGUUAAACCUGCUCCUGAAGUUACCCAUCGAUCCCAGCCCAUACUUCACAACGCUCCUGACCUGGCACUCACGGAAGUUUGAGCACAAUAGGGUACUAAAAUUGAAAUUUGUCUACAUAGAGAAUGCAAAGCAUCCGUCAAGAAGAUACAAAAUGCGAAUUCUGUAUCCAGACCGCAACACUAUUUAUACACCCUUUCAGUGACCCAGAACUGCGAGCAUGUAGAGGGUAUUUGAUAGAAUUGCAGUAGUAUAACGUUCCAAGAUUUCAUACCCUUCUCAACCUAUCAUACAAUGCUGGGUACAGUCUUCUCGGCAGUGAGCGUGGAGCUCAUUCAUGUGCUUAAAACUAACGCACCACCUUUCUAAGACGAACACUACUACUUCACACCUUCAGGAAUGAACCAUUGUUUCCCAACCGAGAAGACGGACACGAGCAAGGUUCAAUCCGAUAACUCAAGGAAUUAUUUUGCCCCCUCUCUUUCACGGCAGUGAGCACAACAUGAGAGAGGAAUGAAAGAGAAACGACGGCGCAUCCGAUCUGCACAUAGUGGUUUGAUUGAUCGUUUUUUAAUAAUAGGGGUUUCAAACAUGGCACUUUUGCAAAACAAAAUAAUUGGGAUUCAGCACCCGUUGUUUCCAGGAUCACUCAAAAUAUGUAAUCCAAAAUAUCACUGUUCAAUCUUUACUACCCCUUGAUAUUACCUUUGAUUCAAGAAAACUGAGGCAAGCAACAUGGUUUUUGAUAUUCGACCUAUUCCUCUUUUGAUAUUUCAAUUUCAAAAUCACCCAUGUUGCAAGGUGGGUGCUUUAGUGAAGUAUCAAGUGAUAUUUUGAAAUAUCACAAGAUACUUCAAGCUUGCAUCAAGGUUGAAAUAUCAUCCGAAAAAAACCAUGUUUAAAACUCCCUGAUGUUAAUGAGAAUAAUAUUAACAAAUAACCUCACUUUCACCUCUUAAAUACAUUUGCAAACCAACCUUCAGUAAGUUUACAUUAUUAUACAUAUGGUGUGUUAAUCCUCUAAACUCCAAAGAAUCAUGAACAAGAGUGACAUCACACAUUCAUUGUGAAAUAAAUUGAACGAAAUUGAAAGAAAAUCCCAUAAAAAAUGACGUAUACAUUAAUAAACAAACACCUUAGUUGGCUAUAUCUCAGUCAGAUUAUUCAAAAUAGCUUAAAUUGGAUUGAGAAUAUACCAAUUAUAAGCAACAACAAAAUUAGAUAUUGUUGUUAUUUUUGAAGUUAUUUCCAUCAGCACAUGUCGAAAAUAUUAAUAGCAAUGCCCAUAGGAUGGCAUGUCCAACACAUUAGUUAACAAUAGUGUUUUAUUCUUAAAACAUUCAUCACACCACAAUUUUUAUUAGCAUCCAUAAGCCACUACACAGAAUCUAACUAACAGUAAACAUAUAUUUCGAAAUAGUAAUGUGUAAACAAUUCCACCUUCAGAACAUGCAAAAACAAUACAAACUCAGUAAUAGUUGCAUGACAGCUGUCGGUAUCUAAAACCCCCCUUUCCUCGCUCUUUCCUUUCGGGCCUUCGUUUGGGGAAAACCAAUUUUCCUUUUCUUUUUCCCUUUCCGAGAAAGGCACCGAUGGCGUGUGACGUGGCCACCUUGCUUAUCGCUCCUGCCAAAGAUGCCACGCGGGACCACUCCACGUGGAACUUAUGACGUGGAUAAUGAUGUGGUCGUCCAACUAGGAUAACUUGGCGACGUGGAUGCCAGCACAGCACAGGACAACCAUAAACUUUCUUUAAUUACCCGGAUUAGUGGGCCAGCCUAGUUACUUUUAAAAAGUCGCCGUUCACACGGGAAGCGCCGGUGGGGACCAGCCACACCGGACCCGACUCAACCCGACCCGAGUCGGCCCCGCAUUGUUAAGCGUGCAACGUUAAGGGUAUCAAUCAAUGAGUCAAACAUCUCCCCGGAUACGCGAUGAUCACAAGCUUUGGAUGGACUGGACCACAAGAGCUCUGAGAUGUACAUAGAGCAUUAAAGAGCAUUCAAGUGCAUUAGAGUGAUGCUGUCUGAAUAUUCGUUGUUGAGGGAGUGUGUUGUUUAAACCACAAUUUGAUGAAUGACGGUAGAAAUUAUGGAAUGAAUGAAAUAUAUCAUAUAAAUAUGUGUGUGUGUGUGUGUGUGUUUAUUUUAAUAGUAGUUUAUAUUUAAUCUCUAGUGUUACAUUAUUGUGGCAUAAACUAUGACGAGAAAUGUGGUUUGUUGGACAGUCACAUAAACAAUAAUAUCCUGACACGAAUACAUCAAUUGUUGACAAUUAGGUAUGAACUAUGCCCAUCUACCAAGAAAAUUAAAGAAUACAAAAUAGGUGAACUUAAACGUAGAUAUAAUUUUGAACAAAUUGUAUGCAUGUAUGUAUGUGUGUGUGUACGUGUAUGUAUAUAUUGAUAAUAAAAAAUUAAGAACCUUAAUGUAUCACCACGUAUAAUUUAGGGCAUGGGUAUUAUGGUACCCAGUUCCAAACACUUUAAGAUUGUAACCCUUGGGAAUACAACUAAAUACUUGUGCAUAAGUUCCCAAGUUGAAUUCCCACCCUCAUGGUUAGAAAGAGCCUUAAAAGUUAUCAAAAUAUUGGGGGUUGUUGGGGAGCACCAAAAUAAUUUUUGGUGAUGAUAAGUUACCCAUUCUAAUUUCAAUGUAAAUUAUUUAUAUUUGCAAAUAAUUAAUGUGUACAUAAAGUGUUCUCUCUUAGCAUCCAUAAGCACCCUUUUUUCUAGUUACUAAAAUUUUUAGUUUUAUCUGUGUAUACAUAUGUACACACAUAAGUAUGUGAACUUAAAUGUUUUGAUAAUAUUAUUUUUAGGCAACAGCUUAGCAAAAGAAUUUGUUCACAAAGUUCUUAUUUUGAAAUAAUACAUCAAAAAACUUGCAAUCAAAGGAACCACAAUAUUGAAAACCUUUUCUUCUUUUUUUUGUUCAAAUUCUCUCUAAAAUUCAAUAGAACCACUAAUGUUUCCAUUCAAAAUUUGAAGCACUUCCUAUCAAGGGGUUUCAAACAUGGCACUUUUGCAAAACCAAAUAAUUGGGGUUCAACACCUAAUAUUUCUAUGAUAAUUCAAAAUAUCAGAUCCAAAAUAUCACAAUUCAAGCUUUAUUGUCCCUAAUAUUACCUCCUGAUUCAAACUUUAAUACUCCUUGAUAUGGAGUCAAAGAGGGAAGAAAGUUGAAGCAAACAAUGCAGUUUUUUAUAUUUGACUAUAUUUGACCAUCCCCUCAUUUGAUAUAUCAAUUUCAGAAUCACCCACUUCACAAGGUGGGUGAUUUGGUGAAAUAUCAAAUAAUACUCUAAAAUAUCACAAGAUAUUUUGAGCUUGCAUCACGGGUGAAAUGUCACCCAAAAAUGCCAUGUUUGAAACCUCUUAAUAAAAAUUUCUGUAAAAUGCACUUUUGAGCAAGUCUAGUUGUUCUGACUAAAAAUUCAGUAAACCACUUAGUACUUACAAACAGUUAACCUGGAAUGUCUGCAGUCCUAUCUUUGUGAAAUAAACAAGUCAACAACUGUAAACUAUUUUUUAUUAUAAAAUUUUUGGUAUUCAUUUAUUUUUAUCUGGAGUUCUUUGUUUUGCAUUUGGAGCUUUCCAUGUAACAGGCUUAUUUGGCACUGGUAUUUGGGUAUCCGAUCCUUAUGGAUUAACUGGAAAAGUACAACCUGUUGUUCCAGCUUGGGGAGCUGAAGGUUUUGACCCUUUUGUUCCAGGAGGGAUAGCUUCUCACCAUAUUGCAGCAGGUAUUUUAGGUAUACUAGCUGGUUUAUUCCAUCUUAGUGUUCGUCCUCCUCAACGAUUAUAUAAAGGAUUACGUAUGGGGAAUGUUGAAACUGUUUUAUCUAGUAGUAUUGCUGCUGUAUUUUUUGCUGCUUUUGUUGUUGCUGGAACUAUGUGGUACGGUUCUGCUGCAACUCCAGUAGAAUUAUUUGGCCCUACUCGUUAUCAAUGGGAUCAAGGUUUUUUUCAACAAGAAAUCGAUCGUCGAAUUCGUGCUAGUAAAAGCGAAAAUUUAAGUUUGUCAGAAGCUUGGUCUAAAAUUCCAGAAAAAUUAGCUUUUUAUGAUUACAUUGGUAAUAAUCCAGCUAAAGGUGGAUUAUUUAGAGAGGGUGCUAUGGAUAAUGGAGAUGGAAUAGCUGUUGGAUGGUUAGGUCAUGCUGUUUUUCUCACUAUAAUAAAAUCUAUGGAAGCAUUGGUUUAUACAUUUUUAUUGGUAGGUACUUUAGGAAUAAUCUUUUUUGCUAUUUUUUUUCGUGAACCACCUAAACUUCAAACUAAAGAAAAAAAAUAAUUUUUUAUUUUGAUAAAAAAUUACGAACCUUCCCUUUUUAUUUUAGGGAAGGUUUUUAAUAAUUAAUUUAAUCUUCAUGCUCUUCAAAAGGAUCUCUAAGUUCUUUAGAGGGUUGCCCAAAAGCUGUAUAAAGAGCAUAGCCAGUAAAACUUACGAGUGAACACGAUAUAAAUAUAGCGACUAAUGUUGCAGUUUCCAUUUUUAAGUAGUUCCAAAAGAAUGGUUUAUUUUUAAUUAAUAUAAUAGUACACAAAGUUAACAAAUCUCAACUAAUGCAAUAAAAUUUUAUGGCUACACAAAUUAUUGAUGAUACUCCUAAAACAAAAGGAAAAAGAAGUGGUUUAGGAGAUAUAUUAAAACCACUUAAUUCAGAAUAUGGUAAAGUUGCUCCUGGAUGGGGUACAACACCUUUAAUGGGUGUUGCAAUGGGAUUAUUUGCUGUUUUUUUAGUUAUUAUUCUUGAACUUUAUAAUUCUUCCGUAUUAUUAGAUGGAGUUCCUGUAAGUUGGUAAUAACUUAAAAAGGUUCAAUAAAAAAGUUUAAACUUUUUUAUUGAACCUUUUUAAGUUAUUACCAACUUUAUUUAUUUACUAAAGGUAGUUUAAUCGUGUAAUCAAUUAAUUAAAGGAUUUAUGGAUUAUGGGUGUGCGACUUGGUUAGAUAAAUGAAAUUUAAAAAAGACAAAAUAAUUUGUUAAUCUUAAAAAAAAGAUAUUUUAUUUUAUUAAAUGUUAAUAAAUUUAAUAUUUAAAGCAUAAAUUUCAAUUAAAAUAUUAGCAAUUUUUUUUUAAUUUAAACUAUGAUUAAUUUUUUUAAUUUACUAUUUAAAUUUCGUUACCAAAUUUAAGUGUUUUUACUCUUUAAAAGUUUAUAAUGAUUUUAAAAAUUAUUUACCUAUUAUAAUUUUUUUUUAGUCAUCGGAAUAUAGUAAAAAUCUAAAGUUUAAUUAUUUUUAAUAAAUUUUAAACAAGAAAAUCUUUAAAAAAAAAUUAUUCAUUUUAAAGAAGAAGAUCGCUCAAAAAAGCAAUUAAUAUAAAAAGCUAACUUGAGAUAAAAUAUAAAAAAUAUAUAAAAAUUUCGAUUUAUAUAUAUAUACUUUUUUAUUUUUAAGCCGUAUGAAAAAAAAUUAUCAUUUACGGUUUGUAGAGAGGAAAUACAUAAAAGUUUGUCUAUCUCAAUAGAGUAUACGAUUGGUUUGAAGAACGUCUUGAAAUUCAAGCAAUUGCAGAUGAUAUUACUAGUAAAUAUGUCCACCACAUGUGAAUAUAUUCUAUUGUUUAGGAGGCAUCACCUUAACUUGUUUUUUAGUUCAAGUAGCAACUGGGUUUGCUAUGACUUUUUAUUAUCGUCCAACUGUUACUGAAGCUUUUGCAUCUGUUCAAUAUAUCAUGACUGAAGUUAAUUUUGGCUGGUUAAUUAGAUCAGUUCAUAGAUGGUCCGCGAGUAUGAUGGUUUAAUGAUGAUUUACACAUAUUUCGUGUUUAUCUUACAGGGGGUUUCAAAAAACCUCGUGAAUUAACUUGGGUUACUGGUGUUAUUUUAGCAGUAUUAACAGUUUCAUUCGGUGUAACUGGAUAUUCUUUACCUUGGGAUCAAAUUGGUUAUUGGGCUGUUAAAAUUGUAACAGGUGUACCUGAAGCUAUUCCUGUUAUAGGCUCACCUUUAGUAGAAAUAUUAAGAGGAAGUGUUAGUGUAGGUCAAUCUACAUUAACUCGAUUUUACAGUUUACAUACUUUUGUAUUACCACUUCUUACUGCAGUGUUUAUGUUAAUGCACUUUUUAAUGAUUCGUAAACAAGGUAUUUCAGGUCCUCUAUAAAUUAUUAGAAUAUAAUUUUUACUAAAUUUUGCUGACAUAAUAAAUUUUUAAUAGUAAAUUUUUACUAUUAAAUUUUUAUUAUGAACUAAAUUUAUUUAUUGCCAUAAAUUAUUUUUAGUUUAACGCUUAAAAAAAAUUUAUGGAUUUUCUGUAUUUUAUUUAAACAUUUAAAUAAAAUAUAUCUUUAUUUAAAAAAAAAUUUUAAUUAUGGGAGUGUGUGACUUGAAUUAAUUAUUGACUAUGUAGAUUUUUUAUUUAGUCUACCACAUUAAUUAUAAAAUUUAAAUGUGUUGUUAUCCUAAAUUAUUUUAAUAAAAAUAAAAAAACUUAGGUAAAUUUUUUUAAACAAAUUUUUUUCUAUGAUUUAUUUUCUAAAUAGGCUUCAUAAAAUUUAAUAAAUAAUUAAUAUAUGUAUAUCUGUAUUAUUUCUAUAUGAUAUAUAUUAAAAUAAUGUGAUAAAAAACAUCAUUCAUUUCCGUUGGGUUUUUUAAUAUAAAAAUCAUAGGAGUAAAAAAAAAAUCUAAGGAAAAAAAAAGUUAAUAUACUAACAAGUUAAGUUUAAAUAAGUACAAAAUUUUAUAGAUAAUAAAAAAACUUAUAAAAACUAAGACUAUCCAAAAUGCAUAUUAUAAUAAAUUAAUUAUAAAAAAAUUUCAAAAAAGCAUACUUGGAUUUUGAACUUUUUUAAAUAAAUAAAAUUUAAAUAAAAAUAGUUUGAGUUGGAUGAAUAAAAAAUUCAUGUCCAAUUCUUUAAGGGGAAUAUUUUUUAAAUAGCCUAUCUUAAUAACAAAAAAACCUGAUUUAAGUGACCCUGUUUUACGAGCUAAAUUAGCUAAAGGUAUGGGUCAUAACUAUUAUGGAGAACCUGCUUGGCCUAAUGAUCUUUUAUAUAUUUUUCCAGUUGUUAUUUUAGGUACUAUUGCAUGUACUGUAGGCUUAGCUGUUUUAGAGCCUUCUAUGAUUGGUGAACCAGCAAAUCCUUUUGCAACUCCUUUGGAAAUUUUACCUGAAUGGUACUUUUUUCCAGUUUUUCAAAUACUUCGCACAGUUCCUAAUAAAUUAUUAGGUGUUCUUUUAAUGGCUGCAGUACCUGCAGGCUUAUUAACAGUACCUUUUUUGGAAAAUGUAAAUAAGUUUCAAAAUCCUUUCCGUCGUCCAGUAGCAACAACUGUUUUUUUAAUUGGUACUGUAGUAUCUAUUUGGUUAGGUAUUGGAGCAGCUUUACCUAUUGAUAUAUCAUUAACUUUAGGGCUUUUUUAAUAUUAGACUAAUCUAAUAGAUUCUUUUUUUUAUUAAUUAAUUAGAGUAUUUACUUCAAAGUAAAUACUCUAAUUAAUUAAUAAAAAAUAAUUUUUUUAAAUUUAAUUUAGUUAUUUUUUUAUUUAUUAAAAAAAAAUAGAAAAAGACUUGAUUAAAAAAAAUUUAAGUAAUAUAAUCAUAAAGUGAUUAUAUUAAUUUGUUUAACUAAUAAAAAUUUAUUAAAUAUUAAUUUUUUUUUUUAUAUUUUUUUAAACAAAAAACGGCGACAUGGCCAAGUGGUAAGGCAGAGGAUUGCAAAUCCUUUACCCCCAGUUCGAAUCUGGGUGUCGCCUAAAAAAGUAAAUUUAUUAAAAAGAGUUGGAUUAACUACUAUGUCAUGUUUUAAAUAAAAACUGUAUUGCUCUAUAAUUUACUUUAGCCUAGUACUUUUUUUUUAUUUAAACGCAUUAUUAAUAGAUAAUCCUAACAUUAAGAAUAAAUCAAAUAAAUAAAAAAAGCAAGUCUUUUAAUAUUUACAUACUAACUAUUUAUCUAUAUUUCUUAUAAUAAAAGAAUAUGAUAUAUAUAUAUGUAUGUAUAGUCUUUUUUUUGUUAUAAAUACAAAAACAUUAUAAAAAAAUAAUUUUUUAUUUAUUUUUCUUAUAAGUAUUAUUUAUAAUUAAUUUUUAUUUUAACAUUUAUAAAAACAUAUGGAUAUAGUUAAUAUUGCUUGGGGUGCUUUAAUGGUAAUGUUUACAUUUUCUCUUUCACUUGUCGUUUGGGGAAGAAGCGGAUUAUAAAAAUUAGAUUUAAAAUUUAAUGUUUUUUUUAUUUUUAUAUUUUUUUUAUUAAAUAUAAAAAUAAAAAAAAGCAUUAAACUAAUUAGAUUAUACUUUUACUAUUUAAUAAAUUAAUUUGUAUAAGAAAUAAAAAAAGUAUAAUCAAUUUUUUCCCACCCUUUAUAAAAUUUUUUUUUUAAUUUUAUUUUUUGAUAAUUUUUAUUUUUCUUUAAGUUUUUUUUUUGUGAAAUAAAAUAAUUAUUAUUUUUUUUAGAAAAAAUAGUAAAAUUUAAUUUAUUAUUCCGUAAGUAUAACUUUCUACUAUAAAAAAAAUGGCAGUUCCACUUAAAAGUAUUUGUGAUAAUAAAAGAAUUGGAUCUAAUCGCCAACCUUGAAAAAUAAGAAUCCCUCCACAUAAUAAUCCAAUUGAUGAAAAAAAUGAAUCAUAAUAUUAAGAUAGGUUAAUGUUUUUAUUUAUAGACAUGACCCUCUUAAAAACCAUACAUGAUAUUUUAAUUUCUUUAUGGCUUAAACAUUAAAAUGAAAAAAAAACCUUAUAAAAUUUAAAUGUUCUAAAUCCAAGUAAGUUUAAAAAGAAUUUUGAAAAAAAAAACUUUUUGGAUUGUCUUUUCUUGUUUGAUUUUAUUUUUACAACAAGUUUAUUUUAUUUAUACUUAAAUUUAUUUAACAUUAUCCUUAGGCUCAUUUUAUAUUUCAUGGAUUUAAUUAUUUUUAUUUCUAAAGAUAUAAAAAUAAAAUUAAAUAAAAAAAAAUAAAUUAUUUUUAGUUGUUAUUUAAUUAAAGUUCCAAUUUUCUUUAAUUUAAAAUUUAAGCAUGUUUUCGAAAUAAUGUUUUAAUUAUGUUCAAUUUUUAGCCAUAGAUUUUUUGAUAUAAUUUUAAAUUUUAUUUCAAGUUUUCUAUUUAUUAUUUAUUGUUAAUUUUGUUAAAUAGAAAUAAUAGAAUUAGCAAAAAAGCUGUUUGUACAUAAAGAAUUAGCAAAAAAGCUGUGGGGAUUAAAAUGAACAAUGCAGUAGCAAUAAAUGCAAGAAUAUUUACUUCCAUAUGUUUAUUAUAUUAAUGUUUAGUUUACAAUACUAAAAAAUAUCAUCUGAUUUUAUUUAUAAAUUUUUUAUUAUCAGUUUAAUUAUAAAAUUAAGCAGUUUAAUCAAAAUAUUUGAAAUCAAAAGAAUAUGAUUUUAUUUUUUUGAGUUUACAGGUUUAGGGUUUAUGUAAAUUUACACGUUUUUAUAAUAAAUUUGAAUUUAAAACAUAAUGAAACUAGAUAUCAUAUGUACGUUUUUUCAAUGAAAAUUUGCACUAGACUAUCAGUUCUUUGUGUAAAAUAAUGCAAAUUUUGAUUGUGAUUAUUUAUCCAAAACUAGUGAAUUCUUUUGUAUUUAGUAUUUAAUGUGCAUUUCACGUUGUUCUACAAUUCAUAUUCAAAACUUAGCAAUGAUUAUAAUUGGUAGUAUAUUGUGGCUGUAAAUGUAAAAUAAUUGCUAACAGAGAACGUAUGCAAAAAAAACAUGUACAUUGUUCGUCUGGACUUGUACAAGCACCGAUUUUAUAAUAAUAAAAAAUGUAGUUAUUUUAAUUCUUAAUUCUACUUUAAUAUAAUAAAAAUUAUCUAAAUUUGCUUCCAAUGUUCUAUGCCUACAGAAAAUUAUGUUGUUCUUUUUUGAGCAGAUCCAGGAUGGGAAACAUGAUAAAUACUUCAUCUAAUUGAUCUACUAACACAAGUGUGGCAUCUCAGAGAUAUCACAUGUAGAGGCUUAUAAAUAAUAUUAAAAGAAUUAAUCUUACAUAGAAGGCAAAAAUCUUCAUAUGUAUCAUCGUCAUUAUGAUUAAAAUGUUGCUUUUAACUAUUAUAGUAAAACCUUUAAAAAAUCAAAAUUGUAUAUGUAUGUAUAUAUAUAUAUAAAUAAACAGACACAUCAACACAAUUUCAUGAAAUUGCACUGAAUUGUAUAGUUGAGUUACUAUUGUAAAAAUGUGAUAAACAACCAAUUACUUCUGCAAUUGUCAGUGUUAUGUUCAAGGAAGUGAUAAUCAGUUCAAGAUUUUAAAGACAAUAAUAAUUUGAAGAUCUCACGAACACUUUCCUCUUCAGGAUAAAAAUAAAUAUGAAUCAUUAAAAACCAGAAGCAGGUAGUGCAUAAUAAUUUUACAUUUAAAGAAAACGUUUAACAAAAAAACUACAUUAUUGCUUUAAAAGUAAUAUAUUCUGUUUUUUAGUCAUCUUCUUUUUGUAUACAAUAAUGCAUGUGAUGGUUUUUGGGGGUUUUGUUAUUACUAUUGUAUUUGAAUAGGCACAAAGAAACAUAUUUGUUAUUACAGAUAUUGAUUCACUGUAUUUAAUUUUAUUUAAAGAAAAUAACAGUAACAAUGGUUGAUAUAUAUAUAUAUAUAUACAUAAACAGAACUGGCUGUUGUAAUGAAUAAUGAUCUUGGUUUGCAGAAUUUUAAAAUUUAUUUGGGUGUUUUGCCACAAAAUUGAACAAGUUUGAUUUUCAAGCUAAGAUCAUUUUAAAAUAGUAAGAAAAUGACCAUCGCAGGGGAACCUUAUCAACUUUUAAUUGAAAGGAUCUCAUGAAAUUGAGGAUUUUACUAAACAAAAAUGUAAUGAUAGGUGAAGAAUAUCCUCAACAUUCAUUUGUUUGUUUAUUCAAUGUUUUACAAUAAAUGAAAUUAAUAUGCUACACUAUAAUUCCUUAAACGCACACUAUAAACGAUUAAGAUAUUAUCUAUAGAAAUGCAUUAUUUGGACACACCUUUCAUUAUUUAGCCUUUCAUAGACGAAUAGAGCACGAGGACAAUUAAAUGGAUGAAUGAAAAUACAUAUAUGGAUGAUAAAAGAUGGAUGAAAUACCAGGGUGGCAGAAAAUGAUUUCCCGCGCACACGCGGGAAAGGAACUUGCGAUGAAGGAACGGAAAGUCAACUUCAAUGGAACACACGACGAGGCCACACGGCACUCCAAGACCUCCACGUCAUUCAUCCAUUCGCUUUAGUGGUAAAGCUUGAUUAUGGUCACACUGUUGAAAAACGUUCACGAAAGUAAAAAGUAUGAAAAAGUAUAUAAAAAGAUGUUACUUUUAGAAGAUAGAUUCGGUUUCAAACCCUACUUUGAUUGCCAUGUAGGGUUUGAAACCGAAACUAUCUUCUAAAAGAUUUUGGUAUUCAAUUCGCACAAUUGUAUUCUUAUCCUCACUAGCAAUGGGGACGAAUCAACAUGUUGUAUGCUUACAAUUCUUUAAACGUCAAAAAGCAUGACACAAUGCAAAAAGAUGACAAGUAGUAGUAAAAUAUUAUUUCUAAACGUGCCUGUGGAUGUUGUUCGAUAAAUAUUAAAAGAAAUAAACUACACCAUGUUGUUGUUUAAUAAAAAUGAUAUACUUUUGUUUUGAUAAGAAUGGAAGAUUCGAAACUUGUUUUUUACGUGCACUUUUAUGUUCACAACGUGGAGCCAGAGAAAAUAUGUUUUGUGGCUGUUAGCAAUGAAGGUACUCAUUUUGAAAACAUUUUUUAAAAAUACUACUUGCACAGGAAAUAUUGAUUUUAUGAUUUCAACAUUGAAUUCUGUAGAAAUUUACAAAAGCAAAAAAAUGAAAAUGUCAGAACAAGAUUUGAAUAAUUUUAUUCAUUUAACUCAGUCAUACCUCUCGUGGUUGCUUAGGGUUUCAUGUGGGCAAUAUUCAAACAUAAAAAUGAACUAACAUUAUUUUUGAAUUUGCUAUCGUGUAUUAUAACAUGGUCACGUUGCUGUAUAUGGGAUAAAAAUGCACAAUUUCUAUAAUUGUCUUAGCAUGUUACAACAUAAUCUAGUCCUGUAUUUUAAUUUAAUAUAUUAAAUCAUUACAAAUUCAAAUCAGUAAAAAAGUAAAAUAAAGACAUACUUAACUUAUCAAAAAAACUAAUUGAAGGUAAAAGACGUACAAAUACUCCUGCAAAAUAAACCGAACAAUUUCGAUAUUAUGGGGUAAACAAUAGUUACAAAAGAAGAGAUACGAAUAUACACGAACGUACACACCCAGAUGGAGGAUCGCAUACGUACAAGUUCGUAUAAAUACGACACAUAUCACACACUCUCUGGGCCCGAAAGGAGCGAAAUCGAGCCCUCCACGUCAAACACUGCGCGCCAAAAGAGGAGACGGAUGGGGAGAGUGAGCUGUCAAGGAUCGGACGGAGAAACGGAACCAGGGCAGAUCGGACGGUUUAGAGAGGGGGCAAGGGGAGCGGGACUAGGGCUUGGCCCGUCCAGCUAGGAUGGGAUGAGGGGGGACGGGUAUGGGGGCUCUCCACCGUGGUCAGCGUCACAUCAGCGCCAUUUUGCCUUGUAGGACCAGCAAACUGGUGAUGGUGUGCUGCCCCUCGCGAGAUAGUUUUCGUGGCACAGACAAGUCGACGGAAACCAAACAGGACGGAAGAGACGGCAAGUCGUCGACGACGUCGACGGAGUUUGUGAAACGUUCAUGCAGGUGACGCACGGAGCGAAGCCGCUGCGCCACGCUUCCCGUCGGUGAGUGACUCGACUGACGCAAAGCUUGCUUGGUUUGUUGCAUCCAUUGGUGAAGAGAGAGAGAGAGAGAGAGAGAGAGAGAGAGAUAUAGGGUGAGCGAUGGUGGUUCAGGGGCAGUAAGAGGGAUUUUGCAGACGGGAAAGGGAGGACGUGGAAGGUCCAUUUGUCUUUUUCCGUUCGGUGUCUCCUCCUUCUGCGGCUUGUCUGGCUUGCUUGGCUAGUUCGGGCCUCCAGCCGGUUCCACAUGGUCUCUCAGUAUUGCUGCCUUGGCACACUUCGUUGCCAUUUCAUCUCCCGACUCUGCCAACUCUGCAUACUCGGCAACGCGUAGGUAUGCAUGUGUGCCACUCGGGUCGAGUGUCAUGUUCAACCCUCCCCUCCUCUCAUGUUGCCAGAUCUUCGUUUGUCGGUGUAUAACCCUCGCUUGUCCUGUCGUCUUGAUGCUAUUGUAGUGAAUAUUGUCCGGGGGUGGGUAUUUGUUUUCGGCGGUGCUUUUGUUGCGCUGUUGGUAUUGGUAUGUUGUUGUGUGUAGUCCGUUUCGAUGAAGUGCUAGAUAUUUGUAGCAGCUGGUGUUUGUAACAAUAAGGUGUUGCUGCGGUUUAGCUACUACGAUCCCUACGUGUGGCAUGUGUACGAAGCACAUCCGCCGCUUGCACUGCGGCUUUAGAGCUUUCUUUGCACCGUUGUGUGCGCUCUUGAAAAAACAAUCGAUGAUGUGGUUUGGACGAAGAGGGUCCGCACAGACAGGGGACAAAUUAAAAAUCGUAUAGGGAUUAAUGUGCGAGGUGAAACUUAAGCAAGAUGGUGAAGUAGCCGCAAAACGGCGGGAUGGGAGUUCUCCCGCCAACAUCGAAGCCGAGCUUUCGCACACCAAGCGUGCGCGCAGAUGUAGUGCUCAUUUCUCCCUACCCUGCUGCCGAGCUUCUCUCAGAUGAUUCAUUCUUGAGCAGUGUAUCAUUUGUCUCUCAACCGCAGGUUACAGGCCUUGAUGUCAACGUCAUGACCCGAGGAGCUUCCUGACAGUCAGUUUCGCGAGUGAGUGUUUCACGAAUUCUGAGAACAAAAAUUCGGAGUCGGCCGAGGUCUGAAGACGCACACCAGUGAUGGGGGCAGCAGGGGAGACGGCAACAGCCCCACCCGCCGCCUCCAAGGGUCCGAAGACCAGCAGCGGUCCUCCCACAUCAGGUGCGACGACGUCCCCGACGCCCAUUGCGUCGCAUGACCCGAACGCGCAGGCAGGCGCGGCGGGGUACAAUGAAUGGUUGGCAGCGUUCCAGGCGUACUACCAGGCGGGAGCACAACCUCCCGCGGGAGGGUUUCCGCACCCCUACAUGUGGGGAGGGCAGCCCAUGAUGCCGCCUCCCUACGGGGGGCCGCACCCUUCUUACGGCGCCAUGUACCCUCCCGGAGGAAUGUAUGGGCACCCGAUGUACGGGCAGUACGGGACUCCGACGCCGGAUGGAAUGGCGGGCGCGGAGCAGGGCGCGGACGGGAAGGCGGAAGCGAAGGGGAGCGAUGGCGGUAAAGCGGCACCUUUGAAGAGAUCGAAGGGCAGCAAGAGCAGCCUGCAGCUACUGAAAGUGAGCGACAGUGGAGGCAAGGGGAACGGGGUGUCGCAGAGCGUGAGCAAUGGCGAGGAAGGAGAGCACGACGGCGAGACGGGGAGCGACGAGGGCGGUUCGACGGAUGCGAGCAGGGAGGAGAAUGCGCAGAACCUGUUGGGAGGGAAGCGGAGUUUCGAGCAGCUGGCGAUGGAAGCCGUGGGAGCUCCGGCUUACAUGGGCACUCCGGGCGGCGCAGCGGGGGUUCCAGGGGGUGCAGUGGGGACGCCAGGGCCAGGAGGAAGCUUGGACAUGAGCUUGGACUACUGGACUGCAGGGUCAGUGCCGCAGGCGAAGGGGGCAAUGCGGGCGUCCGGGAGCCCGUCGACGAGCGCUCCGCCAGCGGAGAUGUGGCUGACGGACGAGAGGGAGGUGAAGCGGCAGAGGAGGAAGCAGUCGAAUCGAGAGUCUGCGAGAAGAUCGAGAUUGAGAAAGCAAGCGGAGUGUGAGGAGCUGGGCAUGCGAGUUGACUCGCUGACUGUAGAGAACGUGUCCUUGCGGACGGAGUUAAGCCGGAUGACCGAGGAGUGCAAGAGGCUGCAGGCGGAAAACAGCAGCUUGAUGCACAAGGUGCGUGGCAUAUCAGGUGCGGAGAUGGGUGGUGCGGCGGGUUCCGGCGAUGUGGCCUCGGCAGGCGGAGACAACGAGGCAGUGGUGUCAGCAAAGGAGAUCGAGGAGUCUCAGAGCAACGGGAACGGGCACGCGACGAAAGCAAGAGACGAGAAGUCAGGCGGUAAGGGGAACGGGAGUGUCGAUGUAGGGGUGAUUGAUCGAUGGAUUGGUGGACCGGGGGUUUUGUAGGAUGUGGGGUGUGCAGUGUUGAUUGGGUGGUGGAAGCUGUGGAUAGUGUUGGCGGUGGGGACUGGUGAGGAGGGUGUGAGAGGAGAGCAUUGAGGCGUAGAGAAGCGUGAGGAAGUGUUGCGCAUUUGGUGGGUGAAAGCGCGCAGCGGGCGUGGGAAAGGACGAUGGGGUUGUGAAGGUUUGUUUAUAGUUUUGGGGUGGUGGUUGAGGCUGGAACGCAUGUGUUGGGGCGUUGGUGUUAUGGUGGCGGCGUGCAGACGCGGAGGGUGAGGGGGUUGUUGGGAUGGAAAGGUCGGACAGUGAUGGGGAGUGACGCGGUGCAUUGGGGUGGGGCGCAGGGGUGAAAGGUCAAGAGGAGGCGGGUGCGGCUGCAUAGGCGUGGAGACAUUGGGUGGGGGGCGGGGGUGAUAGGAAUCGAUUUUGGUAUUUUGGGUGGGUUAUGUAGGAAGCGGUGACGGAAAGAAGUGGUGACAACCCUGCACAAACAUUACAAUUCUUCAAGGGAUGGGCGCGUCCUGUUCAAGGGGUGGUUGGUGACUGGGAGUGGGUGAAGUGAAGAGAGAAUUUCACUGGUGCUGCGCUGGUCCAGCAUUCUUUGGGAGUAGCAGGGAACGCUCGGCUUGAUGUUUUUAGGAUAGUGGUAGUUGGUGCGAUUUUGUGGUGCCAUGCUUGAGUGACGGGAGUUGGCUGUGUACAUUUGGAUACUCUUUGAACAACGGUGGUUUCACUGAAAGUUGAGAGUGAACAUGGGUUGGAAAUUAUAUGCGAGCGUUAUUUGCAGGCACAUGAUUACUCAGUCUUCACAGUCAUGUGCUUUAUAUUGGGUUCAAUUCGGAUAUUAGCUUUAGGGGUUAGACACAUCCUUCUCAACAAUUUCUUUGUCCAGGUCAUUGCACUUCAGCAGUCGGCAUUUGUAUCUAUCAUUUCAUGGAUUGGGAAAUUACUUAUCGAUUUAUUUUCAUUAUUCAAUUUGUUUACCUCGCAUGUAUUGUGGUGGUUUUCUUUUAAUUAAGCUCUUUUAGAAUCAGUAGUUUGCUAUGAUGAGUUGGUUUAUUCUUUGAUUGCAACGCGUCUCUGAUCUCAAAUGGUCAUCUGUUCAUUAGGCAAGGAUCUAAUUGUUUUUAUUUUUGCUUUCUCCAUCGCGCAGCGAUUCAAUCUGAAUUAUUAGUAUGCAGGGGUUUGUUACAAGCUUUUUGAGAUACCUCUUUCAGUUCAUUGGACAAGAAAUUUAGAAGCUGAAGAUGACGAUGUUGAUUACCGUAAUUGUUCUGGUUUCUGUUUUUGAUGACACUUAACUUCGCAACUUUGCGGGUCUAAGGUUGUGUCACGUCCUUGUUGCAUAUCGGCCGUGAAUGUUGACUGCAGCGAGCAUUGAAAGAUCGUAUGGCACUAUGUGAUGCACCUGCUAUGCCUGGGUGUAACAUUGACCUACAUAUUCUGGCGCUGCGGGAUGUUUUAUAGCGUAUAGUGACUUUUUCAUAGCAGUCUUGAUACGUCGAGACUGUAACCUCCAUCAAGAUCACUGCAUGAUUUUCAGGCGUGAGGACAUGAUGGAUAAUUGGACUGCAGUUUAUUAUCUCUUGCACUUUUGCGAAGUUAAGUGUGAAACUAACCCUGACAAGCCUUCACCGAUGCUACGUCGACACUGGUCACAGCUUCGCUGAAUAUUUUGUGACGGGUUGAGAAAUGGAGUCUUUUUGUGAAGAAACUGAUUCUCCAGACAUUUGACCACAGGAAUGAAAUGAUUUUAAUUGUGUUAAAAGUCGGAUGCUUUCGGCAGUAUCAUCAAGGUAUCCUAUAAAGUUACAUAAAAAGCGUGCCAGUCGCAUUCGUCAAUGACAAAUAGACGUCACAAUAGGACUACUUCCUGCGAUUGGUAAAAUUAAUUGAGACUCAUAACUGAAAUGAGCAAGCCUUCCUGCGAUUGGUAAAAUUAAUUUUGAGACUCAUAACUGAAAUGAGCAAGCCUUCCUGCGAUGGGUAAAAUUAAUUUUGAGACUCAUAACUGAAAUGUGCAAGCCUUCGUGCUCAACAACUAGCAUGGCUUACAUGCAGAUUAGCUGUCCAACAAGAAUCGAAUGUUCCAAGGCUUGAGAGAAACAGUUUGACUGUAAUCAACAAACCCUAGGGACAGACAAGAUGCUUCAAAAUCUUAGCCAUUUCCGCUCCUUUUCCUUGCUGUUAACUGCAUGCGUUGUGGUGGCAUGAGCCGCUUCAGCAGAUGCCAAGGCUUUCCGAGCCUCUACUAACUUUCGGCCAACAGCCUCAUAUACAACUUUCUCCUUGCGGUUCCGAGUAGCCAUCUCCUGCAAUUUGCUAACUUUGCUACGAAGCUCCUUAAUUUCAUCUUCAUGAGCUACUAUUGUUUGCCGAUUGGCCUUCUCUAGUGACUGCUUAUCACUGACUGAUCCACUACAGUUGGUUUGAGAACCACCAGGCCUAACCUUACUGGAUUUAGUAGCUGAAACCUGUUGACCAGUGAGAUGAUGAUUGAUGAAGUCAAAAACAUUUCGAGUUUCUUCAAUAACCUCCAUUUUGGACUUGGCUGCUCUUUGUGCGUUAGCCCACUUUUGAUCACGCUUCCUCUUCCCACCCCUGGACUUUUUUUUUUUAGCAGUCUUUUCAGCGUCCCCUUGUUCUCCAUCUUGGUUAUCCUGACCAAAUCCCAGUGACUGCUUGGCUGGUCGCAUCUGAACCUUCACUGGUUGUAUAAUACCUUGACCAGAUACACCUAGUCCCAUUCCCUCACGAAACCCCAUGCUAGCCAUCAUCUUGGAAGCCACUCCGCGAGUGUGCUUCUCCCAAUUUGCAAAAGUAACUGUCUCUGUUUGCACACCUGCACAGAAUGAUCCAAGAGUAGGACGUUCUUCUUCGUCCACAAAAUCAUCGCUUUCAUCCCCAUCUUCAUCUGAGGUGUCUGAUGCAUCACUAAGUAAUGCGUAUUCGGACUGUGCAAGGUCAUCUUUAUCGACGUCCAUUCGCUUUCCAUCAGCACUAAAUACAAUCGUGGCACGCUGCUGUCCUUCGUCCCACAACUCUAGCUCUGCAGCUCGCCAUAGCCCGUUUCCAGCUUCCGCCAGGACUGCAGAUCCCAAUGGUAUUUGCUUCCAUUCAGGAGCCUCGUAAUUGCGCAGAGCAUUCAAAUGGGCUUCUAAACCUGCGAACAGGAUGAACAAACAUCAUCAGAGAUCAUGAACAACGAGGCUCAAGUAACAAACGGCAUUCCUGGGCAGAAUACGCAAACCAUCUCAUUCACCAUCUAGUGUGUAGCUUCGCUGAGUUAAGCAUAGAUUGAAGAGCACUGUAACCCAAACAUGUUGAGGAAUAAAACAUAUUAAUCACAAAUGUAAAGCGCAGUACAUAGAGGAGAUCGAAAUUAGGAAGAAGGAAACUCGAGAAUACAGGUCGCGUUCAAUUAAACAAGGUCAAAUCCUGUUCACUUUAUCAGGCGUGCCAUGCGAAUGAAAAGCAUACGUUGCAGAGAAUGACUGCAUACCAUGAGAUAGACGGCACUUAUUACCAAAUCGACAUUGUUGCUGCAGGAAAAACCUGCACAUCUAUAUUUCCAUCGCACUGCUUUAAAAACUUGUCCUUACACAAAAGCCAACUGUCAUCCACAAGUGCAAGAUGACUUUUUUCUCUUGUGGCAACUGGCUCGAUAUUGAAGAAUAAAAACCGACAAGUAGGGGGACGUUGAAAAUCCGUGACUACGAAAUUGAGUACACUAACAUUCUAUGUUUAUCGUCCUCCACAGGGUUCCACUCUUCGACAGAGUUCUGACCAGAUAAAAGCUGCGACAGUUUUGAUGUCAAAAAGUCUUACCUGCAAUUUUUCGGAAGUUGGAUGUAGAAAAGCCACACGAGCGACAGAGUCAUCCUCCAUGCCAAGAAUACAACCAUUGUACCAUCUCCCAUCGCUAUGACGAAAACGGCAUUUAGAACCGACUGAGAACGGCUGGGGAGGGACCACAUCCCCCAUAUCUGACCUAGAAACCGACUGAGGCAGCUCAUCAGCCACCUCGAUUUGUCCCCCUUCAGAUGGAGAUUCCUGCCGCUGAGUCAUGGCAUCUACCUCUCGAAGUAGCCGAGCACGCUUGAGGUGUAACAGGCUUUCUUCUGCUCCCUUCACAGCUUGCUGUAACUCUUCCCGAAUCUACACAUCGGCACUUAACAGUUAAGUUAAUACUUAGUGAGCGUAUCACGGAUAGGAAUAAACCACAUGGUGCUCAUCGACCAGACCCUCUUUAAUAUGUGAGUCUAAAUCACAUCAAGAGCAUCAAGUUGUAGUAGGGUCGUAAAUCGGAAACCAAAGGGGAAAAUGCUAGAAGGAGAAAUCAAACACCGGGAAGUCAGAGAUGCUUGAUUUCUGAAGGGCAGGUUGAUGGUUUUCAAAGAUAAGAAGAAUACGGCAUGGGUUGUGAUCAACUUCCAACUCUUAAUCAUCAAAAGACUGUGGAAGGUAUUCAAAUAGUCUAAUACAUAGCAAUACAUACUUGUAGUAAUCAUUCGAAGACAAUUGAAACAGCAAAUUCGUGUCAUUGUAGAUAAAUUUCACAAGAAAUUCUCCACUAGCGCAAGUUCAUUCCUCACCAUCUUUCAGCUUCUAUACAAUUCAGAUCGAAAUGCCUCGCAAUUAGGGUCUCAAUGUAAGUCGUGUGUCCUUACAAUUUGUCAGCAAUUUCAAUGACUACUGCCAAAUCAUCCUCAGUGGCUUCAUUUCGCUGCACUACUGACCCACGGGCUUCUACUAAUCGAUCAACGACCAAACAGUCUAGAACAGUAUAAUCUGUGCCGAUUCCACUCAGAGCCUUAAUUUCACCUCAGAAUCAAGCUUUCGGGAGAAAAGGCAGGCAUGACGUAGGCCAUGCUCGUUUCCGUAAUCUAAAGUUCGGUAAACUUGCAGAACAUUGAAGAAAAGAGGAAAUACGAGGCUUCAGUAGACCAAGGACCUCAUAAAUCAAUCACCAUUUUGAUGCUCAUCGCCAAUCCCAGAUGCCAAAUAUUUUGCCAAGCAAAGAAAACCCACACUGUCUGAAAAUAUCUUCACUAAAAAUGAAAGUAGAAUAAUAAUACUGACCAUGAUUAGCUCGGAAUUGUUAAAAUCCACUGCAAGAGCUUCGUCAACGGCCUGCAGGGACGCCCGAUUCUCCUCCAAGUGGGUUUCUAGCUCUCCUUCCAGCGCGGUCUCAUCAUUCGCUUCGCCCAUUGCGACCAAACCCUAAUUACUCGAAAAAUCGCGCGUCGAGGCAAUCCGCAAGCACUAACAUGAAGCUGGCGGUCCAUGCAUCAUCCACGAUCUUCAAUUUUGCUCGUCAUCGGCCAAGACGCCGCAAAAACGAAAGUAGGGAGGCAAACCCAAACUCCCGGAUGAGCUCAAUGAUAUACUGCGUUCACACUUGCUAUGGGUGGUGAUGUUUGUACCCGCCCUUACCCUCCUAUUCCCGCCGUGAUAUGGAGGAGAGCAAAACAUGUUCCGGUCAUGUAGUUCUUCGCAAGGGUAAUGGUUGAUCAAGCGCAUUCAUGGCAUGUUUCUCAGCACCCAGAACAUCAUCGGUGAAGCUUCAAGUUAACCUGCAUGCCAUUGGCGAAGACCAUGGCCUUCAACUGGUGCGCUUGCCCUCAUUGUUUUCGAAGCGUAGCGUAAAUGAGUAACUUCUGUACUCAUGGGGUUAGGAGUCUGCGUAUUAUCUUCGAAGUUUGGCGCUGCAUUGUGAAGGAAUGAAAUACACUUUGUUGAGUCUAUUCUGAUCUUGAGGCGAAUGGGGACGAAUGCUCCUCGUAGCUUGUAAGUGUGAGGGUUGUAGCUAUUGAACGCAGACACAGUUUCCAUCGCUGUAGCGUAGUGCCACACGCAACCCUGGAAUUCAAGGGUUAUCGUUUCUGGCUUAGCUUACAAGAUAAUUUUUCUAGCCAGUAAAUGUCCAUUGUGCCGUCAGUAGACAACAGGGAAGAAAAGUGAGAAUUCUCUGUAGGAUUCAAGCACGAUCGCCUCAAAACCACCACUAUAUAAGACUGUUUUGAAUGAUUCUUGCCCAGCUUCUAUCACCGAUUCCUUGCUGCCUCUGAAUGCAAGAAUUUAGAACUAUAAUACCAACGUUCAAGGAGAUGGUAGGUGCAAUCGCAAGCUACUGAUACAGUUUUCGUCAUGAGGAUUAGGUCGAAAUUGCGUGAAGGCUAUUCUCGUGAUUGGAACCAUUUCGGUGGAUCUUCACAUGUGUAUUUUGGCUGUGUUCGUUGGAAGCUCCAGCUGUCUUCGGAAACCCAACCCUAACCCUAGCCCUAAUUUGGCCCUAAUCCAGGUUUAAAUGCGUCUGAAGAAUUCUAGUGAUUGUUUUGUAAGAAGUUGGGUGAUAAUGUAUUGUUUGGAGAUGAAGACACUUUUCGAAUCGGUUUGAACUUCAUAGAAAAGAAAGAGAGGAGUGGGUCAUGGAUAAAUCGCCUCCUGUUUCAAUAUGUGUAAAUUGGCUUUGUAUGUGUAUAUUUGUUUUGUAUUUUCAUGUAUUUUGUUAUUGCGAUUUAUUUGUAUUGAAGUUGGAAAUUGUUGAAAAGCAAUCUUGAUGUUUUUGUUUAUUUCAUAAACAUGGAAUUGCAAAUUUUCUGUGUGGAAAUCAUAAUUCAUUCUUUGUUUUUAAUUGAUUUAUGUCGAAUAAGUGAUUUAGUUAUACUAUUUUUAGUGUUUUAUCAAAUUCUUGUGAAAAAGGUGUAAUUAUACAUAAACAUAUCAUGAAAUCACAAAAAUCAACAGUAUAUAUGUGUAUACCAGCAUUGAGGGUGCUUGGUAUGCUUUGGGAGUAGUAUGUUGAAGCAUGGUAUUGUUGUAAAAUAAUAUACAAUAUAAUUAUAAAUCACAAUGUAAAAAAUGUAACUACACAUAUUUUUAUAUGUUUUAUGUAGUUUGUUAUAAAUCAUUGUUUAGAUUUCGUCAAUGCAAUCUCUCUCUCUCUCUCUCUCUCUCAAUAUACAUAUAUAUAUAUAUAUAUAUAUAGACAUGUGCACAUUUAUUACACAUAAGUAAUUUGCAAUGUUUUUUGAAAUAGCAGUUUCAUAAAUACACCAAUGACUUUCUUGUAAACCAAUCUUGAAUUUCAAAUAUUUUUAAUUUAUGAUUAAUGUUGAUAAAAAUAUUCUGAUGUGAUUCAAUUCACUUUCAUUUGAAUGUUAUUAUUAGUGCUUUGAAAUUGCAGACCUCUAAAACUAUGGUAAUAUCUUUUCAGUAAAUUUAUUGUAUAACUAUAAAUAUAUAGAUAUACAUAUAUUUUAAGCUCUUUUCUUCUUGUUAUUUAUCCCUUUUAAGAAUCAAAUAAUCAUGCUUAGGGAUAUGUCUCAACUUUGACUCAAUGACCAAAUUUUCUUUACCAGACAACACACAAGAAACUGUAACAUAUUUGAUGACAAAACAACCAACAACUGAAAUACCAAUUAUUACAAAUAACUUUAAUCAAAUUCUCAAAUACAUACUUUAAAACCCCAUAUUGUCUUGAUUUCCCUUGGAGCAACCUAUGCAAUCCAUGGGCAAACUUAGGGGCUUGAUGAAGCAUGUUAAGAACCCAACAAUCCUUACCCUCAUAGACUCAAGUUAAAUGAAUGCUUGAUGUUUGCCCAAUAGGGUAAUUCUUAGUAAGUGCUAGAAGCUACAAAGACCAAGCACACAUGCAACAAUCAAACACAAAAACAUAAAAAAGAGAAAAAAGUUUUUUAAAAAAAACAUAGAAGACGAGAUUGGAAACCAUGAUCCAAACCCCCUUUUUAAAAAAUAAUAACAAUUAAGAUCACCACACAUAUAGGCACAUUGUGAAGCACAAUAACAAACUUUUAUAAGCUCCAUGUAAUUAGCACUAAUUUUUUAGGAUCAAGGCUUAGGACAUAUCAAUAAAUGGUGGGUUACCCCUGACUUCGAAUCCCACCCCACCCAACCAACCAAUCCUCAACACAUUCAUCCACGAACGAACAGAACCAUUCGUGAACACGACAAACAGAUUAUCCUGUCUAGAUCGACUGAAUCAUCCAUCCAUCCAUCCAUCCAUCUAUCAACAAAGGCGACCAAGGUUUAGGUUUUAGGAGAAAGGGAGGUGAGUGCCACGCUAAUCGCAUCGCGGCGCGUGUCGACGAAGGGAAUGCCGGUGAAUGAGUGCCACAGCUUGUUGUAGAGAUGGAGGGGGCCAAGAGAAAAUAGAAGACACUGAGGGGAAUGCAUCGCAACGGAUUGAUCAGCAUCACCGGCAUGAUGCUAAAGCACAAAAAAGGGCUCCCUGACACGCUCUCGAACUCCAACUGUGCGGAUCUCUAACCUCGAGAGUUGUUCGGAAACGAGGGUGAUCGAUCUAUCACUCUGGGCCCGACCCAGCAUCCGUGUAUAGAUUCCCUGAGAUAUUCCUCGAUGCUUCCUUUGUUUAUUUAUUUAUCUGUGGCGAGUUUCGAUUACAAAAUCACGUCCUUUGGUCGUUCUCAAUGCAGCUCAUCGAUCGGUCCAUGCUUCUUCUUCUGCAUUCUCGGUCUCUCUCUCUCUCGCUCGCUCAAUGCGUGUGUAGGUUUAUCAAUUCAUGGUGGUUUUCUUUGUGACCACGAACUCUCAGCUGGGUGUUGGCGUUUUUGGACUUUUUUUCUGUAUUUCUGCUGGAAUGGUUGGAGAAACUAGCAGCCAAAAGCAGGGAAAGGAAAGCCCACGCUUGUCGCACCACGAGUGAUUGCGGAGGAUGCUGAUGUGUGGGUGCCUAUUUUUGGAAUCCCAGCUCUGAGGCUGCUGUUUAUGGCGUGGUGAGACGCGACUGGGUACCAAGCUUGGAGCUCGCAGGCCUCCUUGAUCGUCACUGGUGCUCGUGAUUGAACGGCAAGCUGCGUGUAUUGGCAGCACAACAGCCGCCACAAAUAGCGUGAUUGAGGGGCUCUGCCGCUGCCAGUUAUCAAGGGUGUUGCUGCGAUCGGCCCGGUGGUGUUGACAACCGAGGGACAGUGAGUGGGGAGGGAGAGUGAUCGAGAGGCUGUGCGGUAGAGGUGAGUUCACCCCCUUGGGUCCUUCUUCAGUGAGUCUCGUCAGAGAGGUUGUCAAUUGCAGCCGCGCAUUGUUGUUUGUCUUCUGAGGUGUGGUUUGAUGAGUCUCUGGUGGAUGGUUGUUUACUCAUUCCGCGCAUCGGUUGUUGUCGAGUGGGUCUUUCGUUGACAGUAAACCGUAUGCUCGUGAAGCUUUUGUAUUCAGAAUCACGUCUGGAUUCGUACUCGUGGUAGUGUUUUAACUUUGCGAUGUUUUCUGGAAUUGGCCGCUGCGCUCCUCUGCAAAUUUGUUUGCGUGGUAUGGCGUGCUGUACUUUGGAGAAAAAUCACAAAACAAACAAUCAGAUUUCAUUACUAUCGUUCCAGUUCGAAUUUUCAGGACAUUCUUGGUCAAGUACCUGGUCGUGCAGAAAGAUAAUUCACGCACCCAGCUGACGGGAAGGCCUGUGUGCUGUCUUUGUGAUCUCCAGCCUUACUCACAUUGCCCUAGACUCGAUUGCUCAGGACCUUAUCCUCGAAGAAGACGAGGGCUUUGCUGACAUGGGCCUUCAGCAUUAUGGUGCGCCUUCCUCCUACCCUUUUUUUUUUUUUUUUUUUUUUUUUUUUUGUCAAUGGGGAAGUACUCAUACUCAAUCGGUAUUAAGUCAGUGGGCUCUUUUUCAAUUGAGGUUACUCUGUUAUAAACGGAGUUCUAACAAUAUACUCUCUAUUGUCGUUCAAAUUGUGCAGCGGAUCUGGAGUCCUGCCUAAGUGUUGCGGUCGACGCCGCCAAGAGAGCUGGACAGGUAGAUGCGCAUAAACUUCAAUUGUGAUGAUUUUCGCUUCGCCCCCCCCAUUUGGUAUCAAUGGGAUGCUCUGUUUUGUAUUAAGAAGGUCGUGCUUAUAACUACUUCGGUUCGAUUUUCAGAUCAUCGCCAACAACUUCAAUACGGCGAAGGUCAUUGAGCACAAAGGCAUGGUAAGGAGAUUGCUUUCAGCAUACUAAGAACACUCUACAAAAUCCUCCAUGAAUUCGUUUCGUGCAAUCUGCUCCUUGUUAAUGUACUAACAGACCUGGUUACCGAGACAGGUAGACCUCGUUACCGAGACAGAUAAAGCAUGCGAGGAUUUGAUUUUCAAGCUGCUCAAGUCAACCUUCCCUUCUCAUGAGGUACUAAUGAAAUUCACCCAAUUUUUAUUUACUUAUUUAUUUAGGGAAAAGCUGCACUGUAACUAAGCCUCGCACAAACUUUGACAUUCCGAUUUCCAUCUCUCUUUGUAGUUGAUUGGAGAGGAGACAUCGGCAGAGAAUGGGACUCCACUUCUUACAGACGCCCCUACGUGGAUUGUCGACCCCCUGGACGGCACCACAAACUUCGUCCACAGGUUCCCCUUUGUCUGUGUCUCCAUCGGCCUUGUCGUCAACAAAGUCCCUGUGGUGGGCGUUGUCUAUAACCCCAUUCUGAAGGAGCUCUUCACUGCUGUGCAAGGAAAGGGGGCUUACUUGAAUGGCAAGCUCAUCCAUGCUUCAAGUCAGGACAAGAUCGGCAAUUCCAUUCUGGCCACCGAGGUUGGAACCACUCGAGACAAGCAAACGGUGGAUCGAACCACGAAUUGCAUCAACAAUCUUCUGUUCCAGGUGCGCUCAUGCUAGAUUUAUUCACGUCUUUGCCGUGUUGCAGCAUUCGGGUUCCUCGUAGCACUUCACGUAAAAUUGGUGAUGCAACUCAUUCAGCCCUUGAUCUUUUCUCAUGCAGGUGCGGUCUGUUCGUCUUUCCGGGUCAUGCGCUAUGAAUCUAUGUGGCGUUGCAUGUGGGCGGCUUGACAUGUUCUACGAGACUGGUUUCGGAGGUCCCUGGUGAGCACCCAUCUUUCAUCUGGUAUACAUUCAAUUCAUGGUAGCGGAAGUCCUGUGUCAACAUUACAAUGAUCUAUUAAUCUGAAGACAAUUCACGAGUUCUUGAUCCGGAAUGGCACACAGGGAUGUUGCCGGAGGAGCUUUGAUUGUGCAAGAAGCUGGCGGUCUUAUUUUUGAUCCGUGAGCACCUGACACUCCCUCUAUCGUUUACCUGCACAUGAGGCUUUUUCAGAUGCUGUAACAGUGGACUUCAAUUCUAAAUUUGGGUAUCAAUUAUUUUCUCUACAUUGAGCAAGUUUUGACUCGCGUGUAGAUCUGGGAAAGAUUUCGACCUCAUGUCUCGCCGCAUAGGAGCAUCAAAUGGACAUCUCAAACA